AUUGAACGCUGGCGGCAUGCCUUACACAUGCAAGUCGAACGGCAGCACGGGAGCUUGCUCCUGGUGGCGAGUGGAGAACGGGUGAGUAAUACAUCGGAACGUACCCAGGAGUGGGGGAUAACGUAGCGAAAGUUACGCUAAUACCGCAUAUUCUGUGAGCAGGAAAGCGGGGGAUCGCAAGACAUCGCGCUCUUGGAGCGGCCGAUGUCGGAUUAGCUAGUUGGUGAGGGAAGAGCUCACCAAGGCGACGAUCCGUAGCAGGUCUGAGAGGAUGAGCUGCCACACUGGGACUGAGACACGGCCCAGACUCCUACGGGAGGCAGCAGUGGGGGAUUUUGGACAAUGGGGGCAACCCUGAUCCAGCCAUGCCGCGUGAGUGAAGAAGGCCUUCGGGUUGUAAAGCUCUUUCGGCGGGGAAGAAAUGGCAACGUCUAAUAUCCGUUGUUGAUGACGGUACCCGCAUAAGAAGCACCGGCUAACUACGUGCCAGCCGCCGCAGUAAGAC
rnacentral:rRNA from 1 species